UACGUAGGAGGCAAGCGUUGUCCGGAUUCAUUGGGCGUAAAGAGCGUGUAGGCGGCCAGGUAGGUCGGUUGUGAAAACUGGAGGCUCAACCUUCAGAGGUCGACCGAAACCUCUGGCUAGAGUCCGGGAGAGGAGAGUGGAAUUCCAGGUGUAGCGGUGAAAUGCGUAGAUAUCUGGAGGAAUACCGGUGGCGAAGGCGGCAUCCUGGACCGAGAUUGACACUGAUGAGCGAAAGGCCAGGGAGCAAA
rnacentral:rRNA from 1 species